CCUACGGGAGGCAGCAGUGGGGAAUAUUGGGCAAUGGAGGAAACUCUGACCCAGCGACGCCGCGUGCGGGAUGAAGGCCUUCGGGUUGUAAACCGCUUUCAGCAGGGAAGAAGCGAAAGUGACGGUACCUGCAGAAGAAGCACCGACUAACUAUGUGCCAGCAGCCGCGGUAAUACAUAGGGUGCAAGCGUUGUCCGGAAUUAUUGGGCGUAAAGAGCUCGUAGGUGGUUCGUCACGUCGGAUGUGAAAAUCUGGGGCUUAACCCCAGACCUGCAUUCGAUACGGGCGAGCUUGAGUAUGGUAGGGGAGUCUGGAAUUCCUGGUGUAGCGGUGGAAUGCGCAGAUAUCAGGAGGAACACCAAUGGCGAAGGCAGGACUCUGGGCCAUUACUGACACUGAGGGGCGAAAGCGUGGGGAGCGAACAGGAUUAGAUACCCUGGUAGUCCACGCCGUAAACGGUGGGCACUAGUUGUGGGGACCUUCCACGGUCUCUGCGACGCAGCUAACGCAUUAAGUGCCCCGCCUGGGGAGUACGAUCGCAAGAUUAAAACUCAAAGGAAUUGACGG
rnacentral:rRNA from 1 species